UGGGGAAUAUUGGACAAUGGGCGCAAGCCUGAUCCAGCCAUGCCGCGUGAGUGAUGAAGGCCCUAGGGUUGUAAAGCUCUUUCACCGGUGAAGAUAAUGACGGUAACCGGAGAAGAAGCCCCGGCUAACUUCGUGCCAGCAGCCGCGGUAAUACGAAGGGGGCUAGCGUUGUUCCGAUUUACUGGGCGUAAAGCGCACGUAGGCGGACUAUUAAGUCAGGGGUGAAAUCCCGGGGCUCAACCCCGGAACUGCCUUUGAUACUGGUAGUCUUGAGUUCGAGAGAGGUGAGUGGAAUUCCGAGUGUAGAGGUGAAAUUCGUAGAUAUUCGGAGGAACACCAGUGGCGAAGGCGGCUCACUGGCUCGAUACUGACGCUGAGGUGCGAAAGCGUGGGGAGCAAACAGG
rnacentral:rRNA from 1 species